rnacentral:lncRNA from 1 species
CCCCGGGCGACCCCACAUUUCCACUCCUGUGAGAGUCUGCUCGGCCUGUGUCUCCUGCUGGAAAGGGCUCCUUCCUCCGCUUCCCCAGCCAUGUCAGCCUGGUCACGGGUUCUCUGGGCAACCUUCCCUUCUGCUCCAGGCUUCAUCUGUGUCCCAAGCUCCGCGGCUUCCUCAUCCCAGCCCGUCUCUGCUGGAUUCUGGUGUCUGUUUUCACUCUCUCUCCCGCGGUAGAGUGGGAGCCCCUCGAGGGCAGAGCCGUUCUGCUACCCGCUCUGGAGUGGGGACAGUCUACACGUGUACCUGCAGAUUCCAACUCACCAGACACAACUCAAUGGCAACACCGUCUUUAGGCGGUUACUUGGUGCCCGGCCCAGUGCCAGCAUUGCACAUCAGAGGUGGUACUGCCCCCAAAGUGCUCCCAGCCUACUGGCAAGAACAGAUGCACAAACAAGUAGAGAGGAGUGAAGCCACAAUCUGUGCCAUCCCUGGGGCAGAGGAGCAACUUAACUGCUGUGCUGUGAAGGACGAGCAAAUUCCAGGUGAACACGAUGGGGGAGGUCACCCCACAGGAAGACAGCUUGUGCAGAGGCACAGCAGGGAAAGAGCGGGUGGCCUUCAUGCUGGGGGUAGGGCUGAGGGUGGAGGAGCACCAUGGGAG